AUCCAUGCUUGUCUUAGAGAUGUAUUCUUCUCACGUGCAAACCUACAGUGUGCCAAGUUCCGGGUCAGUGUUCUACAAGUGUCCAGCCUUCCAUGUACACAUUCCUAGACCACCAAGUGGAGUUCAUUAUCCAAAUAAGUCUAUCAUCAAGAAGCAUGUUAAACCCACACCAUUUUUUUGGCAUGAGAAGUCUGCUGUUGUUGGACGGUUGCAUUCUUUAAGCUAAACAAAUGGACUCACAACAAAGACAAGUGCACAAAGGAUGAUGAAUUGAAGGAUGGAGCAAGUUUCACGCAUGGUUUACUUUUGUGUAUCUUGUAAUGUUUCUAUUUUUCAUUUUUGAAGUAAAAAUUGUUCAAGAUUAUAAAACUUUAUUAUGUUAUGCUUUCAAACUUAAGUUAGAACUAAGAUCUCAUGAAGUAGACACAUUCAUGGU